CUUANCAUGCAGUCGACGAUGACCACUUCGGUGGGGAUUAGUGGCGAACGGGUGAGUAACACGUGGGCAAUCUGCCCUGCACUCUGGGACAAGCCCUGGAAACGGGGUCUAAUACCGGAUAUUGACCUUCACGGGCAUCUGUGAGGUUCGAAAGCUCCGGCGGUGCAGGAUGAGCCCGCGGCCUAUCAGCUUGUUGGUGAGGUAAUGGCUCACCAAGGCGACGACGGGUAGCCGGCCUGAGAGGGCGACCGGCCACACUGGGACUGAGACACGGCCCAGACUCCUACGGGAGGCAGCAGUGGGGAAUAUUGCACAAUGGGCGAAAGCCUGAUGCAGCGACGCCGCGUGAGGGAUGACGGCCUUCGGGUUGUAAACCUCUUUCAGCAGGGAAGAAGCGAAAGUGACGGUACCUGCAGAAGAAGCGCCGGCUAACUACGUGCCAGCAGCCGCGGUAAUACGUAGGGCGCAAGCGUUGUCCGGAAUUAUUGGGCGUAAAGAGCUCGUAGGCGGCUUGUCACGUCGGUUGUGAAAGCCCGGGGCUUAACCCCGGGUCUGCAGUCGAUACGGGCAGGCUAGAGUUCGGUAGGGGAGAUCGGAAUUCCUGGUGUAGCGGUGAAAUGCGCAGAUAUCAGGAGGAACACCGGUGGCGAANGGCGGAUCUCUGGGCCGAUACUGACGCUGAGGAGCGAAAGCGUGGGGAGCGAACAGGAUUAGAUACCCUGGUAGUCCACGCCGUAAACGGUGGGCACUAGGUGUGGGCAACAUUCCACGUUGUCCGUGCCGCA
rnacentral:rRNA from 1 species